UCGAAACCUGCCAAGCAGAGCGACCCGUGAACAUGUGUAUCCUCAUGGGUGUGGGGGUGUUGCUAGGUGCCUUGUGCGCUUGCACGCCCGUGCCCCAAGUCGAGGAGCCCCUCCUCACAAAAACGACCCCCGACGCGUAACGCUUCAAGGAGUAAGAACUUAAUGUGUGUGCCCUCUGGCUGCCCGGUCAACCGGCUCUGGUGCGGUGCCAUGUCUUAACAAUAAACGACUCUCGGCAACGGAUAUCUCGGCUCUCGCAUCGAUGAAGAACGUAGCGAAAUGCGAUACUUGGUGUGAAUUGCAGAAUCCCGUGAACCAUCGAGUUUUUGAACGCAAGUUGCGCCCGAAGCCUUUGGCCGAGGGCACGCCUGCCUUGGCGUCACGCAUCGCGUCUUCCCCACGCUCACCUUGUGUGGGGGGGAAGGAGGAUGGCUUCCCGUGCCUCACCGGGCGCGGCUGGCCUAAAAAGGGAGCCCACGGCGUUGUGAUGUCGCGGCGAUAGGUGGUGAACAAGGCCUUGGCUGAGCAAGCAACCCGCCGCGCAUCGCUUUGUCAACGUGUGCUCGGAGGACCCUAUGAAGUUGCCUCGGUGCAACGCAAACCGUUGCGACCCCAGGUCAGGCGGGGCUACCCGCUG
rnacentral:rRNA from 1 species